UGCCCAGUGCGCCGGCGUUGGCGGCCACGGUCAGUUCGUGGAACAUGGUGUGACCCGCGAGCGUGGCGUGGUUGGUCUC
rnacentral:tRNA from 1 species